CCACCUGUUCCUUUUUUCCCUCUGAUUAAGUCUCUAUUUCUCUCUCUGUUCCUGCUUCUGUCUUUGUCAGAUUCUCGUUUGAGUUUCUCAUGCCAGAACCAAACUAUCGUCUUGUUUGCUUCACCCUUCCUUGUCCCGUCCUGUCGGAAUCUGCCUGUUCAUCUGAUGCUACGUGUGAUCAGGUACCUCUGUCCUCUACGACCCGCGCCUACCCAGAGAGACGAGCAGUCUGUCGCCGCUAACCCAGCUAUUCUCCUCUGCUGCUAAGAAGGGGACUCUAACCCAGCUAUUUUCCUCUGCUGCUAAGAAGGGGGACUCUUCUGUAUAUAUCAGAAGGACUUUAUGAUUAAUUUGUCGCCCUCUCUGCGGGUUGUCUAUUUUGCCAUUAUAUACAUCUGAAGUGGAUCUAUGUCUUCCCUGUGUUUUGACAUUAAAGGACUCUGUUUUUGUUAAACCGCUUUCGGGUCCUCACUCACGUGCAUAACAGUCCUCAGAUAAUGGUGUGCUUUCGUCGUAAGCGUUUUUGAAAUCUGACAAAGCGGCUGGAUUAACUAGAAGUUAAGCUUUUAAAUGAUGUAUGACACUUGUAUUUUCAUGAAUGUUUAAUAUUACGAUUUCUGUAACUUGAAAUUUCACUGGAUGUUGUGAUCCAUAAGAAGUUAAUCUAAUUGCACUGUCCAAUUUACAGUAGCCAUUACAGUGAAAGAAUACCAUGCUAUUGUUUGAGGAGAGUGCACAGUUUUGAACUUGAAAAGUUAUUAAAACUUCUUGUUGCACCCAUCCCGUUAGCGGGAUCAUUUUCGUCAACAUCCGCUGAAUUGCAGAGCGCCAAAUUCAAAUUAAAUUACUAAAAUAUUUAAUUUUCAUGAAAUCACAAGUGCAAUAUAGCAAAACACAGUUUAGCUUGUUGUUAAUCCACCUGGUGUGUCAGAUUUCAAAAAAGCUUUUCGGCGAAAGCAUAACAAGCGUUUAUGUAAGGACAUCUCUCUCAGCAGACCAAACAUUAAACAGCUAGCAGCAAAGUAGAUUGGACACGAAAGUCAGAAAAGCAAUAAAAUUAAUCGCUUACCUUUGAUGAUCUUCGGAUGUUUGCACUCACGAGACUCCCAGUUACACAAUAAAUGUUCCUUUUGUUCCAUAAAGAUUAUUUUUAUAUCCAAAAUACCUCCAUUUGGUUGGUGCAUUAUGUUCAGAAAUCCACAGGCUUGAGCGGUCACGACGUGGCAGACGAAAAUUCAAAAUAGUUCGUAGAAACAUGUCAAACGUUUUUAUAAUCAAUCCUUAUGUUGGUUUUACAAUAUAUAAUCGCUAAUAUUUCAACCGGACUGUAGCUUCUUCAAUAGGAGAGAGAAAAUGUCUGCUCCACUCUGUUGGCGCAUGCAAAACGCUGCUGGCACCCAGCCAUCCAAUGACGCGAUGUGAUCUUUCUCGCUCAUUUUUCUAAAUAAAAGCCUGAAACUAUGUCUAAAGACUGUUCACACCAUGUGGAAGCCAUAGGAUAUCCCUUUAAAUGGAGGAUAGGCAUGCAAUGGAACAGGGAGAUUAGUUUCUCUUAGGCACUUCCUGGUUGGAUUUUCCCCAGUAUUUCGCCUGCAAUAUCAGUUCUGUUAUACUCACAGACUAUAUUUUGACCGUUUUGGAAACUUUAGAGUGUUUUCUAUCCUAAUCUGACAAGUAUUUGCAUAUUCUAGAUUCCGGGCCUGAGAAAUAGGCAGUUUCAUUUGGGUACGUUUUUCAUCCAAACAUCAAAAUACUGCCCCCUACACUCAAGAGGUUAAUAAACAUAUUAGGCACAUUUGGGCAGUCUUGAUACAACAUUUUGAACAUAAAUGCAAUGGUUCAUUGGAUCAGUCUAAAACUUUGCACCUACACUGUUGCCAUCUAGUGGCCAAAAUCUAAAUUGCACCUGGGCUGGAAUAAUACAUUAUGGCCUUCAAAGUGUUUUCUUUCAAAUGGUAUUAAGACUAUGCAUAUCCUUGCUUCAGGGCCUGAGCUACAGGCAGUUAGAUUUGGGUAUGUCAUUUUAGGCGAAAAUUGGGCGGAUCCUUAAGAGGUUUUUAAGCAAAACCAGUGACUAGUGUUUCAAUGUAGGCCAAAAAGCAGGAGAACAUUUUGUGCAACAUGUCAGCAACAUAUUCUGUCCUUGAGCAAAAACUGGUCAGGAUAAAAUACAUGGGUGGGGUGAGGAUGUCACUGGGCAGGAUAAAAGACAUGGGUGGUAUGAGGAGGUCACUGGGCAGGAUAAAAGACAUGGGUGGUGUGGGGUGAGGAGGUCACUGGGCAGGAAAAAAGACAUGGGUGGUGUGGGGUGAGGAGGUCACUGGGCAGGAUAAAAUACAUGGGUGGGGUGGGGUGAGGAUGUCACUGGGCAG
rnacentral:lncRNA from 13 species